AUCUUAGUAGUGUAUCUAACACACUUCAUUUUCGUUGACGAGAAGAAAAACCUUUUUCCUAAGAUA
rnacentral:tRNA from 1 species